rnacentral:rRNA from 1 species
UGCAAGUCGAGCGGUAGAGAGAAGCUUGCUUCUUUUGAGAGCGGCGGACGGGUGAGUAAUGCCUAGGAAUCUGCCUGGUAGUGGGGGAUAACGUUCGGAAACGGACGCUAAUACCGCAUACGUCCUACGGGAGAAAGCAGGGGACCUUCGGGCCUUGCGCUAUCAGAUGAGCCUAGGUCGGAUUAGCUAGUUGGUGAGGUAAUGGCUCACCAAGGCUACGAUCCGUAACUGGUCUGAGAGGAUGAUCAGUCACACUGGAACUGAGACACGGUCCAGACUCCUACGGGAGGCAGCAGUGGGGAAUAUUGGACAAUGGGCGGAAGCCUGAUCCAGCCAUGCCGCGUGUGUGAAGAAGGUCUUCGGAUUGUAAAGCACUUUAAGUUGGGAGGAAGGGCAGUUACCUAAUACGUGAUUGUUUUGACGUUACCGACAGAAUAAGCACCGGCUAACUCUGUGCCAGCAGCCGCGGUAAU